rnacentral:rRNA from 1 species
UCUCAAAUUUUGAAUUUUUCUAAAAUAGUAUAUUAGAAAUUUAAAAUUUUGACGGUUUUUAAUUUUUCAGAGGAAUAUGUAAUUUAAUCGUCAAUACACGUUAAUUCUACUUAUUUUAUUUUUGUAUAUCUCCGUUAUUAGAUUUUAUUAUAAAUUAUAUAAAAUUUCUUAAUAAAUAAUUUUAGUAUAUCAGGUCAAGGUGCAGUAUAAAUAAGAUAUUAUGUAUUACAAUCAAAAAUUUUGAUAUGAAUAAAAUGUUGAAAAACUUUUUGAAAAUGAAUCUGUAAGUAAAAUUUUAUAAAAAUUUAUUUGAAUUUUAUUAAAUAUGU